UACGAAGGGGGCUAGCGUUGUUCGGAAUCACUGGGCUUAAAGGGCGCGUAGGCGGUCUCCCAAGUCCGGGGUGAAAUCUUUCGGCCUAACCGGAAAAGGGCCUUGGAUACUGGGGGACUCGAGGGGGGUAGGGGCAAGCGGAACUUCCGGUGGAGCGGUGAAAUGCGUUGAUAUCGGAAGGAACGCCGGCGGCGAAAGCGGCUUGCUGGACCCCAUCUGACGCUGAGGCGCGAAAGCCAGGGGAGCGAACGGG
rnacentral:rRNA from 1 species